rnacentral:rRNA from 1 species
GUAGGGAAUAUUGCACAAUGGAGGAAACUCUGAUGCAGCGACGCCGCGUGAGUGAUGAAGGACUUCGGUUCGUAAAGCUCUGUCGUAUGGGAAUAAGAAAGUGAAUGUACCAUGCAAGAAAGGAUCGGCUAACUUCGUGCCAGCAGCCGCGGUAAGACGAGGGAUCCUAGCGUUGUUCGGAAUCAUUGGGCGUAAAGCGGAUGUAGGUGGCUUUGUAAGUCAGGUGUGAAAGCCCAGAGCUCAACUCUGGAAGUGCAUUUGAUACUGCGAAGCUUGAGUGUGGAAGAGGUAAGUAGAAUACCUGGUGUAGUGGUGAAAUACGUAGAUAUCAGGUGGAAUACCGGAGGCGAAGGCGGCUUACUGGUCCAACACUGACACUGAGAUCCGAAAGCGUGGGGAUCAAACAGGAUUAGAUACCCGGGUAGUCC